UAGGGAAUCUUCGGCAAUGGACGGAAGUCUGACCGAGCAACGCCGCGUGAGUGAAGAAGGUUUUUGGAUCGUAAAGCUCUGUUGUUAGAGAAGAACGUUGGUAGGAGUGGAAAAUCUACCAAGUGACGGUAACUAACCAGAAAGGGACGGCUAACUACGUGCUAGCAGCCGCGGUAAUACGUAGGUCCCGAGCGUUGUCCGGAUUUAUUGGGUGUAAAGCGAGCGCAAGCGGUUCUUUAAGUCUGAAGUUAAAGGCAGUGGCUUAACCAUUGUACGCUUUGGAGACUGGAGGACUUGAGUGCAGAAAGGGAGAGUGGAAUUCCAUGUAUAGCGGUGAAAUGCAUAGAUAUAUGGAAGAACACCGGUGGCGAAAGCGGCUCUCUAGUCUGUAACAAACGCAGAGGCUCGAAAGCGUGUGGUGCAAACAGG
rnacentral:rRNA from 1 species